CGGGGGGGGCAAGCGUUGUUCGGAAUUACUGGGCGUAAAGGGCUUGUAGGCGGCCAACUAAGUCCGACGUGAAAUCCCCAGGCUUAACCUGGGAACUGCGUCGGAUACUGGAUGGCUUGAAUUCGGGAGAGGGAUGCAGAAUUCCAGGUGUAGCGGUGAAAUGCGUAGAUAUCUGGAGGAAUACCGGUGGCGAAGGCGGCAUCCUGGACCGACAUUGACGCUGAAAAGCGAAAGCUAGGGGAGCAAACGGGAUUAGAUACCCCGGUAGUCCUAGCCCUAAACGAUGAAUGCUUGGUGUGGCGGGUAUCGAUCCCUGCCGUGCCGAAGCUAACGCAUUAAGCAUUCCGCCUGGGGAGUACGGUCGCAAGGCUG
rnacentral:rRNA from 1 species